AUAAUUAAACUCUACUUGCAAUAAAAAGCGAUUACAUUAAACAUUAAGAAAUGAAUCUCAAUAAUUUUUAAACUAAUAUUUUUAGUUAAACAAAAAAAAAAAAUCUCAAAAAAGAAAGUUAAUUUGAAGUUUUUUUAUAUCAUAAAUUUAUUUGUAAUUAUUUUUUAGCUGAUGUACCGUUAAACUGAAGGUGGUAAUAAAGUUUACAAAAUUUGCUCUGGCUGAAUUUUUCAAUGAAAAAACAAUGUGUGCCAUAAAUGUAAUCUAUUUUUCAUGGGGUAUCUAUGAAAGUUUGGUGUAUUGGCCAAAUCACUUGCAAGCAUCUUGCUAUUAAACUGCCAUACGUAAAGUCACGCUAUUAAAAGUAACUGAAAGCAGCUGAAAAUAAGAAUUUUUUGAUGAACUUUCUUACUUCGGUUGGAGAAGAUGAGAAACAACUUACAGCGGCAAUCUUAAUAGAGCUAAUGGCCAAAGAAAUAUGUUUUUCAUACUCAGUGUAUGCAAUGAAACAAAACGUUCUGCAAGGUCGUUAUAGAGUUGCGUUUAGUCGUUUAUCGUUGUAUUCGUUCAUUUCGAAAUCGUUACUGACAAAAGUAUUAAAGAAAAAAUUGGCAGCUUUCUGGCGACGGCCAUUAAUAGAGAUUACGGAAAAAAAAUAGAACCGUAACUGAGCAACGCCCAAUAUUGAGCAAUGAAAUAAGUAUCGCCAAAAUAAUGAAAGUCGAUGCCCACUAUCUCAUAGUGAGAGUAUAA